GUUUGUUACAACUGGGAAUUGUUUCUAUAUUUAUCUUGCGCUAUUUUGGUUGUCUUUUUUUCGAUACUUCUGAUUUAACUUAUUCCUUAUUUCCUUUUCCGUGCUUUGCUCUUACAAUAAGUUAGGCAUUGUUGCUGUUGAGAGAAAGUACAUUAUGAAUAUGUUUACAAGAAGCAAUUAAAUUUGGCAUGCCUUGUAUACAGUAUCUAAAAGGAUGCUUUUUUUAAAGAUCAAUUUCAACCUCAAUGCCAAGCAAACUCUCAAGUGAUAUGCUUAUUGAACUCCAGUGAUUUUUAAAUGGGACAUCUGCGAGAUUUGCAUUUUAGCUUUGCUUGCAAAUGUUAUAUUAGCCUUUUAAUUCCAUGCCUAAAUAGUUGUGAAAAAAUUCAAUUACUUUUGUUGGGAGGUCUCUUGGUUCAAAGUAUCUCAUUUUGUAGCUGCACCAAUCUCUUUAACACCACCUUCAAAAUAAUAUAUCCUCAUAUGGUGACAGCUUAACCUUCUUAGUUUUGUCUAUUCUGCU
rnacentral:misc_RNA from 1 species